UUGCUUCAGCAGCACAUAUACUAAAAUUGGAACAAUACAGCGAAGAUUAGCAUUGCCCCUGAACAAGGAUGACAUGAAAAUCUGUGAAGCGGUCCAUAUUUUU